UUAAAUUGAAGAGUUUGAUCAUGGCUCAGAUUGAACGCUGGCGGCAGGCCUAACACAUGCAAGUCGAACGGUAACAGGAAACAGCUUGCUGUUUCGCUGACGAGUGGCGGACGGGUGAGUAAUGUCUGGGAAACUGCCUGAUGGAGGGGGAUAACUACUGGAAACGGUAGCUAAUACCGCAUAACGUCGCAAGACCAAAGAGGGGGACCUUCGGGCCUCUUGCCAUCGGAUGUGCCCAGAUGGGAUUAGCUUGUUGGUGGGGUAACGGCUCACCAAGGCGACGAUCCCUAGCUGGUCUGAGAGGAUGACCAGCCACACUGGAACUGAGACACGGUCCAGACUCCUACGGGAGGCAGCAGUGGGGAAUAUUGCACAAUGGGCGCAAGCCUGAUGCAGCCAUGCCGCGUGUAUGAAGAAGGCCUUCGGGUUGUAAAGUACUUUCAGCGGGGAGGAAGGGAGUAAAGUUAAUACCUUUGCUCAUUGACGUUACCCGCAGAAGAAGCACCGGCUAACUCCGUGCCAGCAGCCGCGGUAAUACGGAGGGUGCAAGCGUUAAUCGGAAUUACUGGGCGUAAAGCGCACGCAGGCGGUUUGUUAAGUCAGAUGUGAAAUCCCCGGGCUCAACCUGGGAACUGCAUCUGAUACUGGCAAGCUUGAGUCUCGUAGAGGGGGGUAGAAUUCCAGGUGUAGCGGUGAAAUGCGUAGAGAUCUGGAGGAAUACCGGUGGCGAAGGCGGCCCCCUGGACGAAGACUGACGCUCAGGUGCGAAAGCGUGGGGAGCAAACAGGAUUAGAUACCCUGGUAGUCCACGCCGUAAACGAUGUCGACUUGGAGGUUGUGCCCUUGAGGCGUGGCUUCCGGAGCUAACGCGUUAAGUCGACCGCCUGGGGAGUACGGCCGCAAGGUUAAAACUCAAAUGAAUUGACGGGGGCCCGCACAAGCGGUGGAGCAUGUGGUUUAAUUCGAUGCAACGCGAAGAACCUUACCUGGUCUUGACAUCCACGGAAGUUUUCAGAGAUGAGAAUGUGCCUUCGGGAACCGUGAGACAGGUGCUGCAUGGCUGUCGUCAGCUCGUGUUGUGAAAUGUUGGGUUAAGUCCCGCAACGAGCGCAACCCUUAUCCUUUGUUGCCAGCGGUCCGGCCGGGAACUCAAAGGAGACUGCCAGUGAUAAACUGGAGGAAGGUGGGGAUGACGUCAAGUCAUCAUGGCCCUUACGACCAGGGCUACACACGUGCUACAAUGGCGCAUACAAAGAGAAGCGACCUCGCGAGAGCAAGCGGACCUCAUAAAGUGCGUCGUAGUCCGGAUUGGAGUCUGCAACUCGACUCCAUGAAGUCGGAAUCGCUAGUAAUCGUGGAUCAGAAUGCCACGGUGAAUACGUUCCCGGGCCUUGUACACACCGCCCGUCACACCAUGGGAGUGGGUUGCAAAAGAAGUAGGUAGCUUAACCUUCGGGAGGGCGCUUACCACUUUGUGAUUCAUGACUGGGGUGAAGUCGUAACAAGGUAACCGUAGGGGAACCUGCGGUUGGAUCACCUCCUUA
rnacentral:rRNA from 1 species